rnacentral:rRNA from 1 species
UGGGGAAUAUUGCACAAUGGGCGCAAGCCUGAUGCAGCCAUGCCGCGUGUGUGAAGAAGGCCUUCGGGUUGUAAAGCACUUUCAGCGAGGAGGAAGGUGGUGGACUUAAUACGUUCAUCAAUUGACGUUACUCGCAGAAGAAGCACCGGCUAACUCCGUGCCAGCAGCCGCGGUAAUACGGAGGGUGCAAGCGUUAAUCGGAAUUACUGGGCGUAAAGCGCACGCAGGCGGUUUGUUAAGUCAGAUGUGAAAUCCCCGGGCUCAACCUGGGAACUGCAUUUGAAACUGGCAAGCUAGAGUCUCGUAGAGGGGGGCUAGAAUUCCAGGUGUAGCGGUGAAAUGCGUAGAGAUCUGGAGGAAUACCGGUGGCGAAGGCGGCCCCCUGGANGAAGACUGACGCUCAGGUGCGAAAAGGCGUGGGGG